rnacentral:lncRNA from 1 species
CCAGGACACAAUUGUGUGCCUCUCAUCACUAGCCAAUGCCUUUGCUUCCAUCGCUUCUAGACCAAUAACGAUACCUCAGUCUACGAGGGAAAUCCUGGAUUGUGAUUGGCAGAUCCCAGAGAUCUUCCUGCUCUCUGCCAUGUGAGGUUCCAACAAGAAGAGGGGCCAUCUGCAAGCCAGGAAGCAGGCCUCACUCAACAUCUGACCCUGCUGGCACCUCAACUUUGGACUUCCAGCCUCCAGAAACUUCAGAAAUAAAUGUCUGUUGUUUGAGCCACCCAAUCUAUGCUAGUUUUGUUAUAGCAGCCCAAACUGACUAAGACACCUUACACAGAGAGAAAAUGUCCAUUAACCAAAAUUUUUAGGACAUGGGGCUCUCUAGGUAAAUUGAGAUUUUGUUGUUGUUGUUAAUUGAUUAUCAAAAA